GAACAGAACACUACCCAUAUGUAUGCAUGAAUACAACGGAGGCUGAAAACACUUUCAUGGCCUGAAGAACCCUAACCUGCUACUAAGCAUGCUGUUCCUUGAAGUUGUAUUGUUGCAAUUUCCAUCCUCAUUAGUUACAGAGCGUAAUUUUCAUGCAUAUGUUUAAACCAACUAAAAGAGCUACUCGACCAUUAGUGUCAAAAAUCUAACAAAUGAAUAAAUGUUUCCGAGAAUCAUUUUUAUAGAGUUUUGCUCUUCACAAGUUUAUGGGAUGAAUUUCCCAUGAAAUUCAUAAACUUCAGCUUUUCCAUUCCCACCAAAACAAUAACUCUAGCUUCCGAUCAAGGGGAUAAUAUCAACCGUGCAACUUAAGUGACUGAUGCAGCCUACUUCUUAAGGGCUAUGUCCAAGCCAUGAACGUACGUUUGUAACGAAAUCACGCUGCAUCCAUCUAUCAAAGCCAAAACCAGCACCCUUUUCUUCAAUCUUUCUCCUGUAGAACACUUCCAGAAAGCAAUCAUUUUGGCAAGGACGAUGAGCGGUGCUCCAGAAAUUUCCAAGAAGGCUGCACAGAAUUUGGAAAAGGCAUCCCAAACUCUAAGAUAUUCUUGAUCCAUUUAACCCGGUUCACCAACUCCUCUAAGUCCAAAAUUGCUGCUUCUAUAGUAUCAGAACACAUAGAAUUCAAAGAAAUGCUUCUAUCAGUUCUCAACUUUUUUGAUGGACUAUUAUCAUCGUGACAGUCUUUCCCAACAGUAUCUCUUGUAACUUCAGCUGAAGCAUCCUCUGACCUUUCUGGAGGUGGUAUACAACUAGCUGAAGUAUGAGAAGAAAAUUCAGUAUUAUGCUUGUUUCUCCCUUCAUCGACUGUAUGAGCUGUCAAGUCCACAAAGCCCCCUGCAACAAGAAUGAUUCCCAUAUCCAAGCAAGUUCGUCACAGAAUCAAGUCACUCAAAAAGACAGGAGAUGCAGCAGCAGCAAAAGUGCUUGAUUCAAAGGUUUGACUAACCGAGCACAAGAGUGACAAUCUUCAUUCCCAGAUAUAGGCACUGUCCAACCAUGCUCUGGAGACCAAUCCAAGGAAGGUCGCAAGUCUGCACAGGAAGCCUCAUAAGAUAAACCUUCACCAACAGGAGGAGGAAACAACUUGAUCCGAAAUUUAUCAUGCUCUAAAACUUCAAUUAGCCUUCCAGACCAAUAACAACUGUCAGACAACCAAUCUACUAAAUCUCCCACCUUCCAGACAUCAUUCCUAAUGACUACCACUUCUGAGAUGGUACUGAUAUUGGGCAUUUCGCUUUCACGAUAAACAGGAGGAAAUUGUGGGCGUAGCAUCAAUUUUGCGCCCUUAGAUUUACCAGGCUUUUGAUAAAGUUUUGUCCACGUUAUCCUUUCAUCUGAAAAGUCAUAGUACUCCAAGGCGCACACCACCCCACUCUUUCUCUGGCCAAUCUCCUUAAUCUUGCAACGAAACCAUGCACCACGAAAACCUACGAUAAAAGAUCUUGCUUCUGCAAGUUGGCCCACUUUGAAAGGAAGGUUAUGCUCAUUCAUGAUGUUCCAUCAACACAAGUAGCUCUCUUGAAAUCGGAAAGGAGAUGGAACUUGAAGGAGGGAGAGAGAUGAAGAGACAAAUAAGGAUGAGAUGGGUUUGUUGGAUACGUCGGUGAACUGAAAAAUGUGCCUAUUUACUGCCCGAGUUCUGCAAACUCUCUCCUCUCUCGUAUCUGCUUUUUCCGUUGAGGAGUUUACUGCAUCCAAGACAAAUGAGCGUGAUCUGGAUUUUUUUUU
rnacentral:misc_RNA from 1 species